rnacentral:tRNA from 1 species
GGAGAGGUGUCCGAGUUGGUUGAAGGAGCACGACUGGAAAUCGUGUAAACCUCUAAAAGGGUUUCGCGGGUUCGAAUCCCGCCCUCUCCG